rnacentral:lncRNA from 1 species
CGUGUGCCACCAACUACAACUGAGCACUAGCCAACAGGUAAUAUGCAAGAAAAUACACUUCAGAUCUCCUACUAAAUGCAACUGAUUUGUGCGGGCAGGGGUGUGUGAAAAGCAUACUUUAGGAUUACAGGUAUGCUUCUUAACUGCCAACUUUCAUGUAUGCAACUGAUAUGCUGUACAAAUCAAAAACUCCUUUUAAAGUUCACAUCAUUAUGAAUUUUCUGCUUGCAGACUUGGUGGUUCCCAUAUAUACAAUUUUUCCCCGAAACAUGAAGUUAUGGGGGAGUUGAUCACUGCCCACGAUCUACAAUGAUGGAAGUCCAAUGAAAACAGAAACUCAUGAAAUGUAAGCCUUAACAAGCUCUGUGUAGUUGCAGGUGAGGCCUGUCCUAGGACAUGUGAUUCUGCCAUCAUUCUUCUUCGCCAUUUCUUCCAGUGCCUGCCGUCACAUAGAUACAAGUUAGAUUAUCGCUGAAGGAAGCACAAAUGUGGAAGCAAAUAAAGGCAUACCUUGGUGCUAUAGACAUAGCCAUUGGGUAAUACAAGGGGUGGAUUUUCAGUAUCCAUCAGUUCUUUGGUUAUGUAGCAAACAAGCUUCGAGUGAUGCUGCUUUGAAUAUGGUAGCGGCGAUGCUAAUUUGCGGAAGCUCUCCUGUGACAAUGGAUCCUCCUUUGUGCAAUCAUCUUCGUAACAGAAUCUAUAGAUUCGGUCAAGGAGAAGUCAUGGAGCAGAUAAAUUUAAAAUUUUCCCGGUUCCUCUUUUCCUUUUCCCAAUGAAUAUUAGGAACUUUGGCCAUGGAUGGCAGAGGGAGUUUGAAAAUAUCAGCAGUUAGUAAAUCUGAAAAUCAUUACCAGCUGUCACUUCCGAGUUCCCACAUGUAAAAGCAUAUACAGCUGACCACCCUCAUUAUACCGUCACGUAUGUAAUUGAUCAUUUAUAUUAACUUGAUUCUUAACAGUAAACUACAAAUUUGUAUGGUGAUCAUCUGUACGCAAUAUUUCCCUGGCAAAAAAUCAUGUGUUAAGGAUACGGAGUUUUCAAUGCAGACAGCCCUGCUUGCAGAUAUAUAUUCAGCAAAGGCUCAAGAGUCAUGCCAUAUAACUUGCAGAACUCUUGUUUGAAUUGAUCAAUCAGGUAAUCCCACUGCUUUGAUUCAAAUAAAACCUGUAACAGAAACUGAAAACUGUCAAGUAACCUCCUGUUGGUGCAUAAUUAUCUUGAACUGUUCGUAUUCUACUCAAGUGUGAUUCUUCAUAUAAAGCAGACAACCAUCUCAGUUCUCACAAGAUCAUGAAGAAACAGACCAAUGAGGGAAAGUGAAAGCAAACAGAUAUAAGAAUUUCCAUACAUGAUAUCUGAGAGUUGCAGAGGCAAUGCAUAAAACAUGCAUACAUUAUUACAUAUAGUAGAAUAGUCCAUUUUUCUAGUAACUCAUUGCUCUAAUUUGUUCAUAUGCAACAAACUUAUACUGCAUCAAAUAAUGAGUUACUAGAAAUAUGGACUAUAUGUAAUAAUUCUUGAAAGCGUUGAUGGUGAAAGAGUCGAACCAAAUUGAAGAAACUACUCCCUCCAUUCCAUAUUAAUUGAAUUUUUGAGGUGUUUCACACCCUUCAAGAAAAGUAGAUUAAGACAUAAAUUGAUCAUAGUUUUCCAUGUUUACCCUUAUUAAUUAUUGUCAAAUUUAUUGAAGGCAUCACAAUGAAAAUCCAAAUGAAGGGUAAAAUUGGAAGAACACUCUAAAAGCAGUUUUGAAAACUGAACAAUUAAGUUAAUUUGAAAAUGGAAAAUGCUUCAAAAAUUCAAUUAAUAUGGAAUGGAGGGAGUAAUUAAGAAUUCUAAACUCAUAACAUUCCGACAAAAAAGUGCAAAUAUACAGAAAACUAGCAGAAAGACCUUAACCUUGUAAGUUGUACAUUCAGUAUUACUCUUGAAAGCAAGUGUCGCCAAGACCCGCUGCAACUCUUUCAUGUGGGUAGAGCCCCAAGGUGCAAGAUAUUUCCGAGCAUAUGUAAUGGCCCGCAUCAUGUUUUCAGCUCUUACCAACUCUAUGAACUCUUGCAGUCUCAACUGGAAUUCAAAUUUGCUCUGUCAACAAGAAAAGCAAUCAGCACCUUGUAUUUGCAGCACAAUGAUCCAAAAUGCAGCACUACUAGCAAAAUCCUUAGAGAACACUGUUACCCAAAGAUAUAACUCCCAAAUUGGAGUUGAAAAAAAUCCUCUCCGUCUUCAAAUGCUUGACAUGUUCUGCCUUUUCACCAUUUUGAAAUAAGAAAAAUUGCAACUUAUUUUAUCUUUUUAAUAUCAACAUUUUAAUCAAAAAUAAUUAAUCAAGAGUAUUAGUUUCAAAAAAGGGUCAAACUGAUCAUUGAUAUAGCAAAACAUGUCGUAUGAAUUGGCACAGGGGGGGGGGGGGGUGGAAAGAAAACAGNNNNNNNNNNNNNNNNNNNNNNNNNNNNNNNNNNNNNNNNNNNNNNNNNNNNNNNNNNNNNNNNNNNNNNNNNNNNNNNNNNNNNNNNNNNNNNNNNNNNNNNNNNNNNNNNNNNNNNNNNNNNNNNNNAGUUUGUUUGGAUGGGGGCGGGGGGGGGGGGGGGUAGUUAUACACACAGAUACUUUACUCGGUUUUAGCUCAAUGAUAUGUAAGUUGUGACAACAUUCUGCAGUAGCCAUCCAAUAUCUAUCCACGAACAGAGCCUAACUUAGAGAUUCACAGGACCUAGUCGACAAGCAAUAUUACUUUUCAUGACCAUUUAUCCUUAUUAUUUGAUAAGUUUCAUGAUCAUUUAUCCCCCUGACACGUAAGACUUGAAUGAAACCUUGGUAUAAAAGGAAGAGCAAACUUUGUAGAUACAUCUUUUAAAGUAUGCCGAGCACAGACAUAAGAGACCACCUAAGUUCAUGGCUCUCUAAAGCAACUUCAUCCAACAAAAAGAGGAUGGAUUUCCGCAUUACAAGCUCACAGCUCAUACAACUUUAUAUCCAGGACAAAUGUAAACACAAUUCCAAGCAAUCAUCCAGUUACAUCUCAAUAAAUGAAUCUAAGUGCUCUCUCUUUUUUGGUUCUUUUUUAAUAAGGUUAAGUAUUAUUGAAACAGGACCAAGAAGGUACAUAGGGAUACAAGAAACGAAACAAGACCCGACCAGACAAUCUGCUUUUCUUCUCUACUUAACAACUCCAGAAAAUCCAUGUACAUCCUGAUCAAAUCAUUGGAAUGACAAAAAGAAUGCGGAUUUCCUAUGGUUAACAAUUUCAAUCAAGACAAAGACAGGAUUCAUCACUAGCCUCCAGUCCACUACAGUUGUUACCAGCUGCAAUUAUUCUUUGUACUACUAGUUUAAAAUCCAACAGUCAUUGGUAUUACUACUGUCGUUAUUCCUUCACAACUCUGCUAUGACUACUACAAUCGUCAACAUUUGAAAUCAAAAGUUAUUGCAUUGUAACAGCAAUUAAUGCAUUUGAUGAACAUCAUCCAAUGGCAGAUACUCUUUUUUAAGCUUUGAUCUCCUGAAGCAUGGAGUAGCUCAUGAAAUUGUAUCAUGUAUAAAACUAUUCAAUUGAUAAGAGAAGAUCAAGUGCUCUAUCCAUUGGACCGCUGCUUUAAACGCGAGACAUUAACAAAAUGACAAACCAAAAGUUUUACAUCACGCAAGCAGUCCAUCCCUCAAAACAUUAUUCCAAAACUGUGUAAACGAAGUAAUGCAUAAUGAUAGUAAUAUACCCCCAAACCCCUUUUUAUGCUAUUUUUACAUCAAUAAUACCUACUUUACCGAUAAAAAAAGUGAACCCCAAACCCAUAUCCUUUCCUUUGUGGAUCUCAUAGCAAUCUGGUGGACUAUGCUACAGUUAAGAGGGGAGAUGCAGAGUCCUCAUGUAUGCCUUACCAAGUUAGAAUUAAAUCCCAAAGCCAUCAUACCCUGUAUAUUGGUCAAAGAUUACCCCACUCUAACUGACUUCACAAUAUCCAAGAAUCUGAUAGCUCAAUUCUGCUGGUGUGCAUGCUAAUGUAUGCUUCACAUGCCAUGUUUCACAUUUGAUGUAUUAUAUUGGACAAGAUUACCUCUGACUGACUUCAAAUUAUCCAAUAAUAUGAAUAGUUAAUUCUCCUCAUGAGUAUGCUUCACAUCUGAUGCAAUGAUCAAAAAGGAAACUAAAACCAGUGGCGCCAUGGAUAGACUGCUGUUAGACAACUCUUAAAUAUCUAUUCUCCACAAGAUAUACCAGGUCAAGAAGAUCCAUCUGCUUCUAGUAUCACCCAACAGAUAGUGGCCCGCCCCAGGAUUGCAUUAAACCCCUUUUAUCAAUUGCCCUCUCUCUCCCCUCUCACUCUCUCUCUCUGUCAUGAUUGUUGUUCAUGCCAAGGGGUUGGCAGUACAGAUUGAUGUUACUUUAAGUUUCAAAUUACACAACAAAAUGGAUAUCAUUUCUUUUAAGUAACAGAAUUUAAGAUCCAUUUAGAUGCUCAAAAAUGUAGAACACAUCGCACAUUUUCUUGAGCUAAAAAUCCCUUGGAUAAAAAAUCUAGUACUUGAAGAUUAAAAUCAAUCAGACAUCAUUAGCUGGCUGCGUAUGACCUUUUGCAUUGUCUGGUCAAAGUUGAAGAGAUAUUGAUGACACUUACUUCACAGAAAGGUGCAGAAGUAUUAUUCUCUUGGUCACUUCGAUCUUUCUCAAUCAACAUGUGGAAAAAGGUUGUAAUUAUGAAUUCCACUAGUGAAUUUAUGAAGAAAAGCACACUGAACCUUUUUCUUUUUGGUUCGGUAAACAUGCACACUGAACAUAUCAACCGGGUUUACAUUUGUCGCAAGUUCAUGCUGAAGAAUAUUAAUCAGUAUGUUGAUCAAGACGGCCCUUCCACAAACCCAUGCAUAGGAGGAGCUUUGUGCACUGGGCUGCCCUUUUUUGUGUUAAUCAAGAUGGCAAUGAGAAAAUACAGAUAUAUCAAUACAUAAUUUGUGAUUCCAGUUGUCAAUAAAUUUUCCUCCCUUAUUGUUACUUUCUUCAAGAAAUCCUUUAAGGGAAUGUAUUCUUAUUCCGUUGGUAAAUAGAACACACAUUUGACAUUCCCCCCUUUUUCAGGGAAUUCAGAGAGAAUGUAUGCUGAUGAUUAUGUAGUUCCUCAUCAACCAAUUGGGUCAUAUGCAUCCAUUACUACAAUAAUCAAUUCAUCAUGUUUUCCAUCUUCACAAAAGCAGUACAAUGAUUAUCCAGCUUCAUGAUUCAGAAAUCUACCAUACUAAUAUAGAACAAAACUUUCUGGUCUAAGUGACCACUCAAUCUAAGAAGCAACUCAUAGCCUUCCACAAGAGAACACUCUUCAUCUACACCUCUUUUCUGACGUAAAUUUCUGCAACUCAACUUAAUGAAAUUAUUUGCCCACUGGCAGCUUUCACAGUCUUCCCUAACUAUUCCAAAAUAAUACCCAGAUUAAAGUUUCCAUGAUCUCAGCAGAGGAAGGGUUUGAAAGAAUAACCUAAUCCACACAGCAAAAGAUGCAUGACACAGCUGACAUUUAUUCUGGAAUCCAUGGCCCAUGAGAAACUCAAGAGGUGACGGUCAAAUUAAGGUUUCCAUUAUCUCGCGAAGAUGCGGUCCAGAAUGGACAUCCCAAUCUUUACAGCAAAGCAAGGAUGGCAUAAUUAAUUUCUGCAAUCCAUUGCAGAUGAUAAAGCUGAAAUUUUUUACAAUCAACUAAAUCUAAAAUCUCAAUUGACGUGCCUCCAUCUUAUAACCUUGCAUCGACAUAAACUAAACUAAUUGGUCCAGAGAAGUUUCUUUAACCCAUGAAAAGCAAAGUACAAGAGUUCAAAACUCACCGUUACUUUAAGCAUAUUAUGCUCAAGAUAUCUUUUUUUUGCUGAAGGGGCUUGAGCUGUCCUUCAUCAGAAACCAUGAAAUGAAACAAGUAGACCAAGCAGAACUUCAGUUCACUCUAUUGGUUUCAAAAAGGGAUAUCUGAGGCUUUACAAACGCUAACAAACCAUCAAACACAGUGGAAAUGCCUUUCUCAAUAAAAAACCAUCAGGCUUCACAUAGGAUUUUACCCUUUCACUAACUUUUAUCUAUGUUCUGCACAUUGGUACCCAAAACGUCUGCAGUCAUCGAAAUGCUAUCUUUCUCUGACAUACACUAAUUGACUCUUAUGUCCAUCAUAUUAGUCAGAAGGAGAUUCACUCAACCCAGUAAACAUGAUAAGAGGCUAAUAUGAAACUUUUCAUGCUUUUCCACAUUUGAGCUACACGAUUGGAUAACAUCUUCUUGAAACCAAAAUUAGUGGUUAGCCAUAUGAAGAAAAUAUGUAAUAUUAAAAUAAUGUUAUACUGAUGGAUACUCUGGUUCUUUACAAAAAUAUGCAUAGGACUAGAAUGAAUUAUCAAUUGUGUCACUGAUUACAAUACAAUCAUAGGAUUGUCAAAUCAGUAAUAAGAAUAUUGAAGACAAAAGCUCAAAGAAACAAAGAUAAUCGUACCUUUGAUUUCUUUAACCUGGAUUUGUUAUCAGCACACCAGGCUAAAGCAGGAGUUACCUCCUUGUUUUGGAGAGCAUCAAUGACCUUUUUUGCUUCAUGAAAGACAUCAAUGUCAACAAGAUCCUAGAAUAGAAAAGAUCAAACUUAAUCACAAUGGGUCAAUGAUUUUGCAGCUAAAGAAAUUCACAAGCUCAAUCGACUCUACAGAAAGAAGCAUCAAUGCUGGGUAGAUCACAUAGUUACUGCAUUAUUCAAGUCAACACAUUCAACAGUUAGAGUAGGCCAAGUGAGAAAACCAGUUCAGGCAUUGCAUCACCUAAAAGCAUUAUUAAAAUUUAACUACACGGCUUGAGCCUUUAGAUACUGUAUGGAUUAGGUUUAAAAUGUCACAAUGAGGUCACAGUGGAGUUCUCAACGAUAGAAAUAUUGCUUCACUGAUGAAGACAUGAAGUUAACAAAGAUAGGAGAAAUUGCUAUCAAAAUGAUAGUUGACUUCUCAUCAAAAGUUCAAUGAUAUUCCAAAAUGGAAUAUUUGUUGACUACAUACGACAAAACCCCAAAAUACUCCUAAAAAUAUUAUGGCAGCACGAAUUAACAACUCUUUGAGUAAAAAGUUUGGAAAUAGUGGCUUCUAGUUUAGAACACACAUUUUUAUAAUAAUGAGGAGAUGAUCAAUACUAAGGAUAAGAAAACAAGAAGGUGUUGAGAGGUAGCGAAUUGACACAGUAGACACAACAAAGCAGGACUAGUGGAUUAAUUUUGGUAAAGACAAAGCAGGAGUAGAGAAUUAUAGGCCGCAAGGAUGAAUAUACCGAGAACAGACAUUAUAGUGCAUGUCAAUCAUGCUCACUUAAAAUCCUUGUACACCCUACAGGCAAACAGAUGAUAGUUUGGCACCACAAACAUAUUAUACAAGUGCCGUGAACCAUUUGAGAAAGGAGUUGGCACCAUUGCGAUUUAACCAAACUUGCUACAUGGUAGCUUCUAUAGGCAGAAGAACCAGAAAGCAAAACCACUUAACUAUAGUUAUAUGCUAGAUCCGAGAAAGUUCUCAAAUAAGGGGAUCUUGUGCGACUCAUAAACUGGAACAACAUGACCCUUUAACCAUAACAAAUGAUACCACAUAAUAAAAGGUAAACAAAUAAAGAAAACCCACCUGGAUGUUGCUGCUUUCAGCAAGCUUUACAGCAGUGUUAUAAUAUGACAUCCGCAGCAUGUAAUCCACUAGUAUCCGGUUCAAACGGGUGUUAUGCCAGCCUGAUAAAUUUUCUGGAUCAGCAGAUUCUAGAUGAUCUAGCCGUGCUCUGCAUCUUUGCGCUUGCAGGUUCUCUGUUUGACUCCCCUCUUCCGACUAAUUGUUCUCACAAUACAAAACCAUAUGAGACAUCAUUUUUAACUGAUUAAAAGGAUUACUGAAGCUUCCAAAAAGCUUCGUGUUGGGCUGUUUUAGCUUUUCAAACAUAUUAGUCACUAACCAACUAACUAAAUGAGUAAAUGGGAUACAUUUUAGGAUCCAACAUUCAACAAAAAACAGAGAAAUCAAACACACAUACACACCAAUAGAAGUUUCGUUUACUUUAUCCAAUCUUAUACAGUAAAUGAUUCUUCCCACAAUAUAAAACCACCUUUACCUAAUUUGAACUGGUCAAAAAUCAAUCUGAAGAAUUUCAAAGGUACCUGUUGGAAUGUAAUCAACUUUACAACAGACUAAUCACUUCAUCCUCUCUCUCUCUCUCUGACACACACACAAAAUAUAGAGAGAGAAGUUUUGAUUUUGUCAUCCAAUAUCCAAUCUUAUACAGUCAAAGUAUGAUACACAGUUACAGACACACGUGUUUGGGUAGAAGUUUGCUUCCUUCAUCCAAUCCUAUGCUCCAAUCAAAUCUGAUGCAUACACAACAAAUAGGGGAAAUUUCGCUACCCUUAACAAAACUUACAUAGUAAUCGAACAGAAUAACAUACCUAAUUAUAGAAGUCUAGCUUCCAUUAAUCAAAACUUAUACAGUAAACAAACAGAAUAGUGUAAUUGAGCUACUCUAAGUACCUUCCUUUUGAGGCCCUGCAAUCUGGAUACAAGUGAAUUAAGGUGAUGUACAGCAUCAUCACGGGACAUGUCAGAUUCAGCAGCAUCUGAAACUCCAUUAAUAACAGCGGAGAGUUCCUUCUCAACAAUACGAUGAUUAGCGCGGAUCGCUUUCUUGAAAUGCUCGAAGGGAACACGAAGGAACUGGUGCUCCAAUUUGAGCGAUUCGGACAGCUGGUUCAGUUUUGACGAAGGUGCGUUAGGUGAGAUGGCAGCCGCCACCGCNNNNNNNNNNNNNNNNNNNNNNNNNNNNNNNNNNNNNNNNNNNNNNNNNNNNNNNNNNNNNNNNNNNNNNNNNNNNNNNNNNNNNNNNNNNNNNNNNNNNNNNNNNNNNNNNNNNNNNNNNNNNNNNNNNNNNNNNNNNNNNNNNNNNNNNNNNNNNNNNNNNNNNNNNNNNNNNNNNNNNNNNNNNNNNNNNNNNNNNNNNNNNNNNNNNNNNNNNNNNNNNNNNNNNNNNNNNNNNNNNNNNNNNNNNNNNNNNNNNNNNNNNNNNNUGGUGGUGGUGGAUGACGGCGAACUGCCGUUGGGAACCGUUUCCAUCUCCAUUAAUGGAAGAAAUCAAGCUAGAUCGAAGACGCUAGAAGGAGAAAGAUUAUGGAAGAAGGAAAAUUUUGCUUCGUUUCCAAAUAGAUAGAACAUCGAAAGGGUACAGCACUACGGCGUCGUUUUGUUUAGGUAAAUUAUUUUAUUUUUUUCUUUUAGAGUAGGUGGGAAAUUAGGAGUGUGCAAAAAUCGAAUCGAUUGAUAAAUCGAACCGAAAAGAGUGUUAUUGGUUUAUUGUUAUUGGGUUUUGGGUUAACGGUUAUUUAAUGGUUUUAUAAAAAAAAUUAUUGGGUUAUCUGUUCGAUAUUGAUUUUUAAUAUUGGGUUAUUGGGUUAACCGAUAACCCAUUAAGAAUAUAAUAAUUUACUAUUUUAAUUUUUAGUCAUACAUAAAUAUCAAACAAAAAAUAUUAAUAUAAUCAUUAUAUUAGACUUUACUAUAAGAACCCUACACAAUUAACAUUACUUAAUUAACUCUGCUUUCUGCAUUUAUCUUUUAGGUUUUAAUAUUACUUUAGUCUUUUAGGCAAUGACUAGGGUUGUGAAUUAUGAGUAUUUGCUAUACUUUUACUACAUUAAGCAAAAUUUUUGCACUCAAUGAGUAAUUAUAUUUCUCUCUUUUUUAUUUCACGUUAAAUUAUUAGACAAGUCAUAUAUUUGUUUUGAGAUCAUUUUCUUAUUGGUUAAACCGAAAACCGAAUCGUUAAAGACCAAAACCGAUAACAAAUAUCUUAUUUGUUUGGUUAUCGGCUUAGCAUAUUUAUAAACCUAAAACCGAUAAACCGAAUCGAUAAUACUUAAAACCGAACCGAACCGAUCGAUACACACGCCUAUGGGAAAUAGCAUAUCGAUACCUCUUAAAUUUGUUGAUGUAUUUCAUUCUGAUACUUGAAUUAUUACAUAUUUUAAUCGAGCAUCUGAAAGCAUGAUAAUGUGAUACAAUAAUCUUAUUCGUUAGACAUUUUCAGCUCAAUUUUAUAUAAAAGAAACUUUUGUUUGUAUUUUUAAACAAAUAAAUUAAGGAAAACAACAUGUUUAUUCCUUGAGUUAUUGUUAUAUUCCUAGUUUAAUACUUUUGAUCAUGUGACUUUUCAUCUUUAAUUGAAAAGAGAUUUAAAUCUCAUAUCUAAAAGGUAUAUGUAGAAUGAGUUGCAUGGGCUUCUAAUUGAAAGCAUACUUUAAGAUUACAAUUUACAGGGGUAUAAUACAUAAACAUGACCCUUAACUUGGCUUCAAUAGACAACUAUGCCCUCCAUCUUUGAGUAUGCACAAGUAGACACUUAAACUUAUAUAAAAUUGAACAAGUAGACACACGUAUCCUACAUGGCAUAAUACAUGUAGGACGCCACAUAGGACACAAAAUUUCAUGUAAGGUGUCAUGUAGGACGAAUGUGUCUAUUUGUUCAAUUUUAUACAAGUUUAAGUGCCUACUUGUGCACACCCAAAGUUAAAAGUCAUAGUUGUCAGCUGGUGCCAAGUUAAGAAUCAUGUUUAUGUAUUAUGCCAUUUACAAGUAUGCUUCUUAACUGUCAACUUUCAUGUAUGCAACUGAUAUGCUGUACAAAUCAAAAACUCCUUCCAAAGUUCACAUCAUUAUGAAUUUUCUGCUUGCAAACUUGGUGGUUCCCAUAUAUACAAUUGUCCCCUAAACAUGAAGUCAUGGGCACUGAGAAGCUCCCAGAGCAAGUUUCUUGCUUGGGAGUUGAUCACUGCCCACGAUCUACGGUGAUGGACAGUCCGAUGAAAACAGAUACUCAUGAAAUGUAUGCCUUAAUCAGCUCGGUGUAGUUGCAGGUGAGGCCUGUACUAGGACAUGUAAUUCUGCCAUCAUUCUUCACCAUUUCUUC